rnacentral:tRNA from 1 species
UAGCUCAGUUGGUAGAGCAUGGUGUUUGCAAUGCCAGCGUUGUGGGUUUGAUUCCCAU